rfam:Triticum aestivum genome assembly, contig: Triticum_aestivum_CS42_TGACv1_scaffold_513728_6BS
GCAAGUAUGAACCAAUUUGAACUGUGAAACUGCGAAUGGCUCAUUAAAUCAGUUAUAGUUUGUUUGAUGGUACGUGCUACCCGGAUAACCAUAGUAAUUCUAGAGCUAAUACGUGCAACAAACCCCGACUUCUAGGAGGGGCACAUUUAUUAGAUAAAAGGCUGACGCGGGCUCUGCUCGCUGAUCCGAUGAUUCAUGAUAACUCGACGGAUCACACGGCCUUCGUGCCGACGACGCAUCAUUCAAAUUUUUGCCCUAUCAACUUUCGAUGGUAGGAUAGGAGUCUAUCAUCACUACAAAAAAAGACACAGCUGUGACAUUUUGGG